rnacentral:rRNA from 1 species
GAUGAACGCUGGCGGCGUGCCUAAUACAUGCAAGUCGAGCGAACGGACGAGAAGCUUGCUUCUCUGAUGUUAGCGGCGGACGGGUGAGUAACACGUGGAUAACCUACCUAUAAGACUGGGAUAACUUCGGGAAACCGGAGCUAAUCCCGGAUAAUAUUUUGAACCGCAUGGUUCAAAAGUGAAAGACGGUCUUGCUGUCACUUAUAGAUGGAUCCGCGCUGCAUUAGCUAGUUGGUAAGGUAACGGCUUACCAAGGCAACGAUGCAUAGCCGACCUGAGAGGGUGAUCGGCCACACUGGAACUGAGACACGGUCCAGACGACUACGGGAGGCAGCAGUAGGGAAUCUUCCGCAAUGGGCGAGAGCCUGACGGAGCAACGCCGCGUGAGUGAUGAAGGUCUUCGGAUCGUAAAACUCUGUUAUUAGGGAAGAACAUAUGUGUAAGUAACUGUGCACAUCUUGACGGUACCUAAUCAGAAAGCCACGGCUAACUACGUG